AGCUUUGCGCAGUGGCAGUAUCGUAGCCAAUGAGGUUUAUCCGAGGCGCGAUUAUUGCUAAUUGAAAACUUUUCCUAAAAUAAGCAGAACCUGCUGGGCGUGGUGGUGCACGCCUUUAAUCCCAGCACUCAGG
rnacentral:snRNA from 1 species